UACUUAUUCAUUUUUUAUUUUUUUUUAAAUGAGCUUUUUUAGUUUGGAAGUAUUGUUUUGUUUUUGACCAAUUUAGGAUGUUUGUUUUGUCUGCCUGUCUAUAUCUGUCUAUAAGUACAAAGCCAACUGGAUGGCCUUGAGCCAGUCACUCUCCCUCAGCCUUAGGAAGCAGGCAAUGCCAAACCACUUCUGAAAUCUCGCCAGGAAAACUGUAGAGGCUUGUUAAAGCAGCAAGCAAAGGGUGCUCUUGGAAACUAAAGUCUAAUACAAGAUGCUGGCUCGUGAAUUAAAACAGAAUUUAAAUGCAACAGUUACAAUCCAGCAACCCUUUCUUUCCCACAAAGUUUUUUUUUUAAAUAAAAGAACCAACAAGGCUCAGCAUCCUUGCACUCGACCAUUUUGCAUCCAGAUAAUUUCUUCCUCGAUCCCACUCUGUUGUACGGGAUUUAGCCUCAAACGACCAUGUAGCGCAUCCCAAGGAUGGACAGCUCAUUCCUUGCAAACGGCGUUGUUUUUUAAGCCUGCAAUCCCCAUUACACACAACAGUCUCCCAUGUUAAAAAAAAAAAAGCCUUCGCCUUUAUAUUCCGGUCGGGAAACUCCGGGCUGGCUCUGCAAGCGUCCGGAAAGCCUCACUCGCGAUCUUUCUCACCUGGUGC